CUGAAGCCUGUGGGGUCUGUGCAGUGACUGGCCAUCACCUCCAGAGCUUCACCUCCACAGCCAACAAAGAUGGGACCUGGGCUCCACCUCCUUGUCCUGGCAGCAGUGCUGGAAGGUGCCUGGUCCCAGGUGCAGCUGGUGGAGUCUGGAGGAGAUGUGAGGAAGCCUGGAGACUCUCUGCGCCUCUCCUGCAAAGCCUCUGGGUUCACUUUCAGUAGCUCCUACAUGGCCUGGGUCCGCCAGGCUCCUGGGAAGGGGCUGGAGUCCGUUGCUUAUAUUGGCACAUCCUCCUCUCCCAUAUACUACGCUGACAGUGUUAAGGGGCGAUUCACCGUCUCCAGAGAUGACUCCAGCAGCCUCCUGCACCUGCAGAUGAACAGCCUGAGAGCAGAGGACACAGCCCUGUAUUACUGUACCAGAGACACAGUGACUUAAACCGUAUUCAUGGCAAUACAAAAUCCCAGCUCAGAUCCUCCCUUCUCAGAUGCCAGGAGGGGGCAGCCACGCUGCACAGCACAGCCCUGCACAGAGGCAGGAGGGGAGACAGUGGACAGGGGAGAACAGACCCCAGUCUCUAGACUGUUUUCCACUCCAGGAGCCCUGACAAAAGCCACCCCCAGGCCCAACCCUGCAGACAUGGCUCCUGGCCACACGAAGCCCAGGCAGGUCCUUCUCAGUGCAUGUCCCAGGAGGACAGUAGGUCCAGUGGCAGCAGCAUCCUGGGCAGAGUGGGGUGUACCCAGCUCAGGACGU